AAUAUUGGACAAUGGGGGCAACCCUGAUCCAGCCAUGCCUCGUGUGUGAAGAAGGUCUNAGGAUUNUNAAGCACUUUACGUUGGGNGGAAGGGCUUUAGACUAAUACCCUGAAGUUUUGACGAUACCAACAGAAUAAGCACCGGCUAACUCUGAGCCAGCAGCCGCGGUAAUACAGAUGGUGCAAGCGUUAAUCGGAAUUACUGGGCGUAAAGCGCGCGUAGGUGGUUCAGUAAGAUGGGUGUGAAAUCCCCGGGCUUAACCUGGGAACUGCUUUCAUAACUGCUGAGCUAGAGUACGGUAGAGGGUAGUGGAAUUUCCUGUGUAGCGGUGAAAUGCGUAGAUAUCGGAAGGAACACCAGUGGCGAAGGCGACUACCUGGACUGAUACUGACACUGAGGUGCGAAAGCGUGGGGAGCAAAC
rnacentral:rRNA from 1 species